UACGUAGGUGGCAAGCGUUGUCCGGAUUUACUGGGCGUAAAGGGCGUGCAGGCGGUCUGUUAAGUGCAGGGUGAAAGCUCCCGGCUCAACUGGGAGAGGUCCUUGCAUACUAGCGGACUUGAGGGGGGUAGAGGAAAGUGGAAUUCCCGGUGUAGUGGUGAUAUGCGUAGAUAUCGGGAGGAACACCUGUGGCGAAGGCGGCUUUCUGGGCCCUACCUGACGCUGAGACGCGAAAGCGUGGGGAGCGAACCGG
rnacentral:rRNA from 1 species